AUUAGACUGACUAGUUUUCUGUGAGUAUGGUUUCAGUGUGUCUUACCUUGGGCGUGGGGUAUCUCUUCACGGCUGCUCCACCAAAGCGCAGCCAUUGCUCCUUACCUUGGACGAGGGGUAUCUCCUCACCGCCGCCCUUCCUGACCUUCAACGUGGGAUAGCUCCUCUAGGCCCUCCUGCGCCGGCGCAGCCACGGCUCCUUGGACGUGGGGUUGGUCCUCCUGGCCACCGCCCCUGGCCUCGGGCGUAGGUUGCUCCUCCCGGCCGCCGCCCCUGGCCUUGGGCGUGGGGGCGUGGGGUAGCUCCUCCUGGCCGCCGCCCCUGACUCGGACGCUGGGUAUCUCCUCUCGGCCGCCCCGCCUGACCUCGGACGCGGGGUAGCUCCUCUCGGCCGUUCCUGCGCCGUCACAGUCUGGUACUCUUCGCUGCUGCCCCUGACCUCGGACGUGGGGUAACUCCUCUUGGCCGCCGCCCUUCGGGCAUGGGGUCCUCCCAGCUUCCACCCCUGACCUCGGACAUGGGGUGGCUCCUCUCCGCUGCGCUUAGCGCACCGGUCGCAGCCGCCUGCGCUUAGCGGUAUUUUGUUACAGCAGCUCAAAUAAAUGAAGACACAAGGGAAAAUCAGCAUGACAUCUCAGCUCAAUCAAAAUACCGAAAUUUCCAAGAAGUCUUCUCAGGUGGCCAAAUUGGGAAUCACCUUUAACAACAGCCUGCAGUGGCAGAGCUCACAUGUGAGGCAGCUAACUGUCCUGCUACCAGAAGACGAUGAUUCUACAUGUGAGCUCAUCAGCUUAUUGCAAGAUAUCCACAUCAUCGUCUCUGACAUCACCAUCGUCCUCGUGGUCACCAUCAACAUCAUGGAAAACCAGCGUAGGGUACUUCAAAACCACAUGCUUUGGAACUAGACAGAUCUGAUUUCGAAUUCUUCCCUCUCCAGUGUGUUACCGUGGGUGCUUCACUAGCAUGUUUGUAUGUCAGUUUCUGCACUGAUUUAAGUGAAAGUGAUUAUGAUACCCACAUAGGCGUCUUCAGGAGAAGCUAGGGUAAAGUAUUGUUGGGGUGCAGCCUGUAAGCCCUAGUAGUUGCCCAGCCUUAAGGCGAAGAAAGGGUCUAGAGACAGAGACAUCCAUGGCUUAUUGGAUGAGACCUUACAUAUAUGAAGCAGGUUCCUGGAGCAACACCCUAUCAAGUGCAGCAGACGGCAGGCAGGACAUGGCAGCAAUCUUUGUCACUUCGGGGAGGAGGCUACCAUUUAUAGGGGGAAUUGAUAUCAGGUUGGCUCAUCAAUUACCACGGAAAUCAGAGGGUGGGGCAGGGGUCAAGCACAUAGGCAGUUACUAAUGAAGCCCCA
rnacentral:lncRNA from 1 species